rnacentral:rRNA from 1 species
AUUGAACGCUGGCGGCAUGCUUUACACAUGCAAGUCGGACGGCAGCACAGAGGAGCUUGCUUCUUGGGUGGCGAGUGGCGCACGGGUGAGUAACGCAUCGGAACGUACCGAGUAAUGGGGGAUAACUGUCCGAAAGGACAGCUAAUACCGCAUACGCCCUGAGGGGGAAAGCGGGGGAUCUUAGGACCUCGCGUUAUUCGAGCGGCCGAUGUCUGAUUAGCUGGUUGGCGGGGUAAAGGCCCACCAAGGCGACGAUCAGUAGCGGGUCUGAGAGGAUGAUCCGCCACACUGGGACUGAGACACGGCCCAGACUCCUACGGGAGGCAGCAGUGGGGAAUUUUGGACAAUGGGCGCAAGCCUGAUCCAGCCAUGCCGCGUGUCUGAAGAAGGCCUUCGGGUUGUAAAGGACUUUUGUCAGGGAAGAAAAGGGGCAUGUUAAUACCGUGCUCUGAUGACGGUACCUGAAGAAUAAGCACCGGCUAACUACGU